CAGGGGUUAAGGGCCUUGGGUUCAAUCCCUGGUACCAAAACAGAAACCAAAAAACCAACCAAAACAAAAAAAUCAAACCAUAUCACCUCAUUCCCCUGGCUUCUCACUGCGCUGGGGCCCAGAGCCUUUCUCACUGGGCCACACGGCCCUGGUAGAAUAUGGCCUUGGCUUUGGCUGACCCAUUCCCGGCUGCUCACCCCUCACCCACUUCCCAUGGCCACCCUGACUGCCCCCUGACCUCCAAGCCUUUCCUGCCCCAGGGCCUUUGCUUUGAUAGUCCCAUCUGCCUAGGACGCCUUCUCCUCAGACUGACCUGACGCUGGUUUCUCCAUCCCUGGGUCAGCUCCAGUGCCUGCUUCGAGGACAGGUCUUCCCCGGCCACCACCCUCGGACUCUGUCCUACUGUCUUCAAGCCAUGGUCACCUGUGUAACCCUUGACUCAUAAGCUGUUGAAGCCACUCCCAGUGUCCCCGCCACAGGAGCCCAGAGCCCUUCACAGCUCCCUGCUCUCUUCCAAGCCCAGGCCACAUGCCGCCAUCUUACAGAGCCAGGCCCUGGGACCCCACCCUUCCUUGUACCAAUCUCCAUGACAGCAUUCACCAGAACACAUGGAGACUGCUUGUGUGAGCCUCGGUUUCCUCAUCUGGAACAAGAGGCUUGGACAAGGAGCGCUGAGAUUUCCCUCAUAUGCACAUCUCUCCCGUCAUGAACACAGCCCCAGGCCCCAGGCAGGGGACAGCUCACCAUGGCGGCCUUGAAAGUACGCAAGGCGAGGUCCCUUCGAGCGUCAAGCUCUCUGUGGAUCAUGUGCAGCACCUUGGCCUCUGAAGGCGUGAUACUGGGUUUGUUCUCCAGCCACCGCUUCACGUCACCAAACGACUCCAGCUCCUUCCGGAGCCUCAGCCUGUGGUUCAGCCAGCCCCCCAUUGAUGCUCCCAUUGGAUAUCAGAAUGAACUUGGAAGAAUGAAACUCUGAUCUGAUCCACUCAUCUCAGAGAACCUCCUCUGCUCUCUUGUUUUGAUGACCUUCGUGCCAAGGACACCCACACCAAUAUUUAUGAUCUGAAACCAGCCCCUGUUCUAUACAUCCAGAUGCUUCUAAGACAUUUCAUCUGGGUGGCUUCCAAGGAUCUCAAGCUCAGGAGUUAGGUGACAACCAACUAAAAAUGAAUUUGUCCCCAUGUCCCUGGGUCCAACUAGCCAGGUCCUCCGGGCUAGAGUGUGGCUCUUCUUCUCCUUCUGACUUGGGGAACUCCUUUUUUACCUUUAAGGCCUGGUGUAAAGAUUUUUCUAGCAGCUUGGAACUGUUCCUCCAAUGUCCCCUACAUUCAGCCGAUCUCUUACUUCCGGGGGACACCCCUGAACCCCGCAUUCACCCCUUCUCAUUCUGUAAUGAUCCAUUUAUCUCUGUCCUUCUGAGGCUGCCGAGGUUUGCCAAGAAUUUAGCCUGCGGUGACGGUCCUCAGAACCUUGAAGUCUGGAGGUGUCUUCCAAAGACUCCGCCAACCAGGCUGCGGCAUGGAUAUCUCAGAAAUGCACAUGGCGAGCGGCCCUGACUCUCAGGAAACCCCUCACCCAGCAGGGACACGGCACAAAGAGAUCUUGGUCUGUCCUCACCCUCACCCCCACUUCUACACGUCAGUGGGGGGACUGA